rnacentral:lncRNA from 1 species
UAUCUCUAAAGAUAUUAUGAACAGAAGAGAUGGCUCAGUGGUUAAGAGCACUGACCGCUCUUCCAAAGGACCUGGGUUCAAUUCCCAGCACCCACAUGGUGGCUCACAGCUGUCUGUAACUCCAGUUCCAGGGGACCUGACACCCUCACACAGACAUGCAGGCAAAACACCAAUGUAUUUGGAAUAAAAUAAAUUAUUAAAAAACAAAACAAAAAAGAUAUUAUGAACAAUUGGACAAGGUGGCAGAAGCUUCCAGUCAGUACUGUGCAGGCUGAGGCAAGAGAAUUUGAGUUGGAGGCCAGCCUAGGCUGCUACUUAACAAGUACCAGGAGAGCCAAUAGAGACCAUCUCAAAAACAAACAAAUGAAAACUCCCACAACAAUAUGUUUAUAAGGCUUCGGGGUACCAAAUAGUGCUCAACCUGAGACUGCUCAAUCUGAGAACGUCUCAAGCUGUCAUUCAGCUCAUGUGAAAGUUCUAUUUGCCUUUCUACUGAAACUUAAAAAAAGGCAAACAAGCAAAGAAAACAAAAACAGCAAAAACAACCAAACAAAAGCCAAUUUCUUGUUUAUUUCUCAAAAAGUAUAGUUCGAGUGACAAUUUUCAGCAAAAGUAAAAGUCAGGAAUAAGUCUUCCUCUUUGAAGGCUGUUCUGGGAAAAUCCAGCUUGAAGAGCCUGGCAGAUCAUGCUGGGAGUAAUGGGGCAGGUGGUCAAUGAGGACUUUGUAGGAGUUAUGGGCAAGGAUGGCAGCAAGAGUGUUGGAUCCUUGCAGCCUGGGUGAGAGGGCAGGAGCUUAUGUAGCAGUUAGGACAGCAGGGGACAUAUAUCAAAGGUGUCACCACAUUCCUCGUACUCACAGUACUGGGUCUGAACAAAAAGCUCCAUAGCCAUUUUAAUGGUUGUGUCAUCUACAGUGCGCUGGAAAGUGGCAGGGAGGGCAGGCGAGUUUUACUUAAGCAGGAGAAAUCAUGGUAGUUACAACUUAAGAUGGCUACAGCCAGGUAAGGGUGGGUCCCUCUCAAGGUCAACCCCAUUCCUAAGAACCCCUUUGCUUUCAGAGAAACAAGCCCAGCCUUCCUCGGCCAGUGAUGAUGAAGGAUCUGAAGAAGAUAAGGCCAGAAGACUACUUAAAGCCAAGAAACUUGUGAGUGACAUGGGAGAUGAGCCCUCCAGAAAGAGGCCAAGGGAUGAAGAGGAAGAGUGA